AUUGAACGCUGGCGGCAGGCUUAACACAUGCAAGUCGAACGGAACCUUCGGGUUUAGUGGCGAACGGGUGAGUAAUACCUAGGAAUCUGCCUAUUAGUGGGGGAUAACGGCUCGAAAGGGUCGCUAAUACCGCAUACGUCCUACGGGAGAAAGAGGGGGAUCUUCGGACCUCUUGCUAAUAGAUGAGCCUAGGCCGGAUUAGCUAGUUGGUAGGGUAAAGGCCUACCAAGGCGACGAUCCGUAGCUGGUCUGAGAGGAUGAUCAACCACACUGGAACUAAGACACGGUUCAGACUCCUACGGGAGGCAGCAGUGGGGAAUAUUGCGCAAUGGGCGAAAGCCUGACGCAGCCACGCCGCGUGAGCGAUGAAGGCCUCGGUCGUAAGACUCUGUGGGAGGAGACGAAGAAAGACCUGUGAAGAGCAGGCCUUGACGGUAGUCUCCUUAGCAAGCACCGGCUAACUCCGUGCCAGCAGCCGCGGUAA
rnacentral:rRNA from 1 species